CUGAGAUCGACUCUCCACUCGGUUACGCGACGCGCUUCUGGCCUGGCGGCGCGGACCUCGUGGAGGGGGAGAAGAUUCUCCAAACGAGAAGGGUUUCGUGAUGGAGAUACAUUUGCGCUCGAAAAAAGAGCCAUGAAGCGAGAACAGGAUAUCCAGUUCGAUGGACUCGAAGAGCAUCCACCGGAAAUGUAACUCGAUCACGAGGAUGUUUCUCGGGUUUAUACGCUCGCAAUCCAAUGAACUUUACUUUCGAUCGCUAUUCUGCUUGAAUUUGCGCGAGCCAUAAAUUUCAUGCGUUCUCGUGCCUGGUAUGGAAACGUUCUGAAAAAAAAAAAAAA